UUAGCCGGUGCUUGCUAAGGAGGUACCGUCAGCCGAAGCUUCUUCCCUCCCCACAGGGCUUUACGACCCGAAGGCCUCCAUCACCCACGCGGCGUCGCUGCGUCAGGCUUUCGCCCAUUGCGCAAGAUUCCCC
rnacentral:rRNA from 1 species